AUCUUGGCAGAAUAGUGUAAUUGAUUUAGAAUCAUUUUAAGUAAUUAAUAUUACAGAUAAUA
rnacentral:tRNA from 1 species